CCUACGGGAGGCUGCAGUGGGGAAUAUUGCACAAUGGGGGAAACCCUGAUGCAGCGACGCCGCGUGAGUGAAGAAGUAAUUCUUUAUGGAAAGCUCUAUCAGCAGGGAAGAAAAUGACGGUACCUGAGUAAGACUCCCCGGCUAACUACGUGCCAGCAGCGGCGGUAAUACGUAGGGGGCAAGCGUUAUCCGGAUUUACUGGGUGUAAAGGGAGCGUAGACGGCAGUGCAAGUUUGGAGUGAAAGGCGGGGGCUCAACCCCGGGACUGCUCUGGAAACUGUACGGCUGGAGGGCGGGAGAGGUAAGUGGAAUUCCUAGGGUAGCGGUGAAAGGCGUAGAUAUUAGGAGGAACACCAGUGGCGAAGGCGGCUUACUGGACUGUAACUGACGUUGAGGCUCGAAAGCGUGGGGAGCAAACAGGAUUAGAUACCCUAGUAGUC
rnacentral:rRNA from 1 species